rnacentral:rRNA from 1 species
GACGAACGCUGGCGGCGUGCUUAACACAUGCCAGUCGAACGGAAAGGCCCUGCUUUUGUGGGGUGCUCGAGUGGCGAACGGGUGAGUAACACGUGAGUAACCUGCCCUUGACUUUGGGAUAACUUCAGGGAACUGGGGCUAAUACCGGAUAGGAGCUCCUGCUGCAUGGUGGGGGUUGGAAAGUUUCGGCGGUUGGGGAUGGACUCGCGGCUUAUCAGCUUGUUGGUGGGGUAGUGGCUUACCAAGGCUUUGACGGGUAGCCGGCCUGAGAGGGUGACCGGCCACAUUGGGACUGAGAUACGGCCCAGACUCCUACGGGAGGCAGCAGUGGGGAAUAUUGCACAAUGGGCGGAAGCCUGAUGCAGCAACGCCGCGUGCGGGAUGACGGCCUUCGGGUUGUAAACCGCUUUCGCCUGGGACGAAGCGUGAGUGACGGUAAUGGGUAAAGAAGCACCGGCUAACUACG